rnacentral:rRNA from 1 species
CCCUUAGAUGUCCUGGGCCGCACGCGCGCUACACUGAUGCAUGCAACGAGUUUAUAACCUUGGCCUGAAAGGUCUGGGUAAUCUUUUGAACGUGCAUCGUGAUUGGGAUAGAUUAUUGCAAUUGUUAAUCUUGAACGAGGAAUUCCUAGUAAACGCGAGUCAUCAGCUCGCAUUGAUUACGUCCCUGCCCUUUGUACACACCGCCCGUCGCACCUACCGAUUGAAUGGUUCGGUGAAGAUCUCGGACUUCGAUAUUUAUUCUUUAUUGAGUUUAUAUUGUGGGAAGUUAUCUAAACCUCAUCAUUUAGAGGAAGGUGAAGUCGUAACA